UUACAUUUUAUUAUAUUGGUAUAAAAAUUUUUGAAAUUUUAGGUAAUAGGUAAUUCUAUUAAAUGUA
rnacentral:tRNA from 1 species